UUUAUGGAGAGUUUGAUACUGGCUCAGGAUGAACGCUGGCGGCGUGCCUAAUACAUGCAAGUCGAGCGAACAGACGGGGAGCUUGCUCCCCCGACGUUAGAGGCGGAGGGGGGAGGAAAAAGGGGGGAAACUAACUAUAAGAAUGGAAAAAAUAGGGGAAAAAGGGGGUAAUGAAGG
rnacentral:rRNA from 1 species